rnacentral:lncRNA from 1 species
GGGGAGUCAUAUAAAUGACUUUAUUUAUUGGGUGGUCACGCUACCUACCGAUCGGCGCAUAAGGAUGGGGAGUCAUAUAAAUGACUAUUUAUUGGGUGGUUACGCUAUCUACCGAUCGACGCUUAAGGAUGGAGAGUCAUAUAAUUGACCUUAUGCUAUUAGAUGGUCACAUAGUUAACCAUCGGACGAUGCAUAAGGGUGGGAUAGUC